UACAGAGGUGGCAAGCGUUGUUCGGAAUUACUGGGCGUAAAGGGCGCGUAGGCGGUUUCGUAAGUCCCGUGUGAAAGCCCCCGGCUCAACUGGGGAACUGCACGGGAAACUGCGAGGCUUGAGUUCGGGAGAGGGAAGCGGAAUUCCGGGUGUAGCGGUGAAAUGCGUAGAUAUCUGGAGGAACACCGGUGGCGAAGGCGGCAUCCUGGACCAUAACUGACACUGAUAAGCGAAAGCCAGGGGAGCAAACGGG
rnacentral:rRNA from 1 species